UACGUAGGCGGCAAGCGUUAUCCGGAUUUACUGGGCGUAAAGCGAGUGUAGGCGGUUUUUUAAGUCUUUUUUGAAAGCGUCCCGCUCAACGGGAUUGUUGGAAAAGAUACUGGAAAACUUGGAGUCAUAUAGGGAUAACUGGAACUCUCGGUGUAGGGGUGAAAUCCGAUGAUAUCGAGAGGAACACCAAGGGCGAAGGCAGGUUAUUGGAUAUGUACUGACGCUGAGACUCGACAGCUCGGGGAGCGAAAGGG
rnacentral:misc_RNA from 1 species